GACGAACGCUGGCGGCGUGCUUAACACAUGCAAGUCGAACGAAGUGGCGGACGGGUGAGUAACGCGUAAUCAACCUGCCCUUCAGAGGGGGACAACAGUUGGAAAAGACGGCUAAUCCCGCAUACUGAAGGAGGGGAUUGCGUCGGAUUAGCUAGUUGGGGGGGUAACGGCCCACCAAGGCGAUGAUCAGUAGCCGGUCUGGGAGGAUGAACGGCCAAAUUGGGACUGGGAAACGGCCCAGACUCCUACGGGAGGCAGCAGGGGGGAAUCUUCCGCAAUGGACGAAAGUCUGACGGAGCAACGCCGCGUGAGUGAUGACGGCCUUCGGGUUGUAAAGCUCUGUUAAUCGGGACGCGGUACCGGAAUAGAAAGCCACGGCUAACUACGUGCCAGCAGCCGCGGUAAUAC
rnacentral:rRNA from 1 species